rnacentral:rRNA from 1 species
GGAGUCUGGGCCGUAUCUCAGUCCCAAUGUGCCCGAUCACCCUCUUAGGCCGGGUAACUAUCGUCGCCUUGGUGGGCCGUUACCUCACCAACCAGCUAAUAGUACGCGGGCCGCUCUCUGUGCGGAUCAAAAGAUCCUUUCCUGUGUGCCCUCUGACAGCACACAGCGUAUCCGGUAUUAUCUCCUAUUUCUAGGAGCUGUCCCCGUCACAGAGGUACGUCACCCACGCGUUACUCACCAGUCCGCCGCUCUAGGUUAGAAGCAAGCUUCCAACUUACCGCUCGACUUGCAUGCUUAAGACGCGCCGCCAGCGUUCGUU